AGGGCACCACCAGGAGUGGAGCCUGCGGCUUAAUUUGACUCAACACGGGGAAACUCACCCGGCCCGGACACCGGAAGGAUUGACAGAUUGAUAGCUCUUUCUUGAUUCGGUGGAUGGUGGUGCAUGGCCGUUCUUAGUUGGUGGAGCGAUCUGUCUGGUUAAUUCCAAUAACGAACGAGACUCUAGCCUACUAAAUAGACGUCGGGUUCUCUGCACUCGACGGUCUUCUUAGAGGGACAAGGUGCUUUUAGCACCGCGAAACAGAGCAAUAACAGGUCUGUGAUGCCCUUAGAUGUCCGGGGCCGCACGCGCGCUACACUGAAGGAAGCAGCGUGUAACAACCUUGUUCUAACGAACUGGGUAACCCGCGGAACUUCCUUCAUGAUUGGGAUAAGGGGUUUGCAAUUGUGCCCCUUGAACGAAGGAAAUUCCCAGUAAAAACCUAGUCAACAGCUAGUCCUGAUUAAGGUCCCUGCCCUUGUUAAAAACGGCCCGUGGUUCUAACGAAUGAAGGGUUUA
rnacentral:rRNA from 1 species